GUAGAAUAAAUUUUAUUUUUUCUUAAAAAAUGUUUUCUUUAGAUUAAUCAAAAGCUUCCUUUAAAAGUGUGAUUCUCAAAUCUUUUUGUUUAUUAUUAAUUAUAGGUUCUAAAGAUGGUUUUAUUAGGUUAUGGAAAAGAGAGGAUGAAAAUCGUUCUCUUUUACCUGUUUUAAGGAUACCCGUGGUUGGAUUUGUAAAUACUCUGCAGUUCACACAGUCAGGGAACUAUCUGAUUGCUGGUAUAGGCCAAGAACAUCGCUUUGGACGAUGGUGGCGAAUAACAGAAGCUAGGAAUUCUAUUGUAAUAUAUUCAUUUAAAAAUAAAAGUUGAAAAUUUUUUAAA